rnacentral:rRNA from 1 species
GACGAACGCUGGCGGCGUGCUUAACACAUGCAAGUCGAGCGGAAAGGCCCUUUCGGGGGUACUCGAGCGGCGAACGGGUGAGUAACACGUGAGUAAUCUGCCCCUGGCUUUGGGAUAGCCACCGGAAACGGUGAUUAAUACCGGAUACGACCACUUCUCGCAUGGGAUGGUGGUGGAAAGUUUUUCGGCCAGGGAUGUGCUCGCGGCCUAUCAGCUUGAUGGUGAGGUAACGGCUCACCAUGGCUUCGACGGGUAGCCGGCCUGAGAGGGUGACCGGUCACACUGGGACUGAGACACGGCCCAGACUCCUACGGGAGGCAGCAGUGGGGAAUAUUGGUCAAUGGGCGGAAGCCUGAUCCAGCAACGCCGCGUGAGGGAUGACGGCCUUCGGGUUGUAAACCUCUUUCAGCUGGGACGAAGCGCAAGUGACGGUACCUGCAGAAGAAGCACCGGCCAACUACGUGCCAGCAGCCGCCGUAA